rnacentral:lncRNA from 1 species
GGGGACCUGCGGAGCGGCCCAAAUCCGGGGGGAGGCCAUGGGGGACCCGGGGGGGGGGACUGGAGGGACCCCAAAGCCUUCAGGGAACCCCACAGCGAAUUGAGGGGUCCCCAAAACCCCCAGGGAACCAGGGGGGGACCCCAAAUCCCUCAGGGAUUUCCAUAGGGAAGCGGGGAGAGACCCCAAAGCCCUCAGGGGACCCCAAAGGGGACUGGGGGGUCCCCAAAGCCCCGAGGGGACCAGGAGGGACCCCAAUGUCCCCAGGGACACCACAGGGAACCAUGGGGGGACCCCAAAUGCCUCAGGGAACCCCAUAGGGAAGUGGUGGGGACCCCAGAGCUCUCAGGGAACCCCACAGGGGAGCCCGGGGGACCCCAAAUCCCUCAGGGAAGUGGGAAGGGACUCCAAAUCCCUCAGGAAAUCCCAUAGGGAACCAUGGAGGGACCCCAAAUCCUUUAGGGAACCCCGUAGGGGACUGAGAGGUCCCCAAAACCCCCAAGGACCCAGGGGGGACCCCAAAUCCCUCAGGGAACCCCAUAGGGAGCCAUGGGGAGACCCCUGAACCCCCAGGAAACCCCAUAGGGGACUUGGGGGGGUCCCCAAAGCCCCCAGGGAACCCCGUAGGGAACCAGGGAGGGACCCCAAAUCCCUCAGGGAACCCCACAGGGGAGCCCGGGGGACCCCAAAUCCCUCAGGGAGGUGGGAAGGGACCCCAAAGCCCUCAGGGAACCCCACAGGGGAGCCCGGGGGACCCCAAAUCCCUCAGAGAAGUGGGAAGGGACCCCGAAUCCCUCAGGAAACCCCACAGGGAAGUGGAGGGGACCCCAAAUCCCUCAGGGAACCCCAUAGGGAACCAUGGGGAGACCCCUGAGCUCUCAGGGAACCCCAUAGGGGACUGGGGGGGGGUCCCCAAAGCCCCCAGGGAACCCCGUAGGGAAGUGGGGGGGGACCAAAACCUCGAGGGAACGAGGGGGGAACCCCAAAUCUCUCAGGGAAGUGGGAAGGGACCCCAAAGCCCUCAGGGAACCCCACAGGGGACUGAGAGGUCCCCAAAACCCCCAGGGAACCAGGGGGGGCCCCAAAUCCCUCAGGGAACCCUAUAGGGAGCCAUGGGGAGACCCCUGAGCCCCCAGGAAACCCCAUAGGGGACUUGGGGGGUCCCCAAAGCCCCCAGGGAACCCCAUAGGGAAGUGGGGGGACCAAAACUUCGAGGGAACGAGGGGGGGGGGACCCCAAAUCCCUCAGGGAACCGGGAAGAGACCCCAAAGCCCUCAGGGAACCCCACAGGGGAGCCCGGGGGGACUCCAAAUCCCUCAGG